rnacentral:rRNA from 1 species
UACAGAGGGUGCAAGCGUUAAUCGGAGUUACUGGGCGUAAAGGGCGCGUAGGCGGUCUUACAAGUGAGAUGUGAAAUCCCCGGGCUUAACCUGGGAACUGCAUCUUAAACUGUGAGGCUGGAGUACUGUAGAGGAUAGUGGAAUUUCCGGUGUAGCGGUGAAAUGCGUAGAGAUCGGAAGGAACACCAGUGGCGAAGGCGACUGUCUGGACAGAUACUGACGCUGAGGAGCGAAAGCGUGGGGAGCGAACAGG